rnacentral:snRNA from 1 species
GAAUGUGAGGGAGAUCUGGCUGCUACAUCUGUCACCCCAUUGAUCACUGGGGUUGAUUUUGCUGAUCUGGCUGGCCAGGCCGGUGUCCCCUUCCUCCCUCAACCUUCCACGUGCAUCCCUCCAGAAGCUACUAGCUGGGUGGGAGAGGACGACCUUCCCCUAUAGAGGAGGACCAGUCUUCGGUCAAGGGUAUACAAGUAGAUGCGCUCCCCUGCUAGAACCUCCAAACAAGCUCUCAAGAUCACAUUCUUAAUCACUAAGGAUUUGGGCUUGAGUAUCUUAUUAGUCAACGAAUAGCACAUGCUCUUAAAAGAUAUGUUAAGUACUUUUGAUUCUUUCUAA